rnacentral:rRNA from 1 species
GCGGUGGAGGAUGAGCUCGCGGCCUAUCAGCUUGUUGGUGGGGUAACGGCCUACCAAGGCGACGACGGGUAGCCGGCCUGAGAGGGUGACCGGCCACACUGGGACUGAGACACGGCCCAG